UACAGAGGUGGCAAGCGUUGUUCGGAAUUACUGGGCGUAAAGGGCGCGUAGGCGGUUCGUUAAGUCCUGUGUGAAAUCCCCCGGCUCAACUGGGGAACUGCACAGGAAACUAGCGGGCUUGAGUUCGGGAGAGGGAAGCGGAAUUUCCGGUGGAGCGGUGAAAUGCGUAGAGAUCGGAAAGAACACCAACGGCGAAAGCACUCUGCUGGGCCGACACUGACACUGAGAGACGAAAGCUAGGGGAGCGAAUGGG
rnacentral:rRNA from 1 species